rnacentral:lncRNA from 1 species
CUUGGCUUGAUUUUGUGUUGAGAAGUGAUAUGCAUUGAACAAAGUUAUGCUUGGUGAUAUAAUGGUGUUAUAUGUGUUUUUACAGGUCAUGGCAUGGCAAAUGGAUAUGAUCAAGGAUACCAAGACUUGACGAUUAAGAUGAUGGUUUAGGGGUAGAUGUUAGAUUGUGUAAUUUUCUUGAUGAUGUAAUAGUAGUUGUAUACGGAAUUUUAAGAAUUUGAAACAUACAAAGAUGUUCCUUAUGUGAAACCAAAUUGGUUUUAAAAAUAUUAUUUGAGUUGGUUUUGAAGAAAGUUUCUAAAAUUUGUUUUGAAUAUGGAUCCCUAUGUUAAUUGCAAAUUAAAUGGAUAUCUAUAGAGUCAAAUGACUUAAAUGCUUUGGUUUGAAAUGGGAAGUUGUAUUGAAAAUUUAUUUGAAUUAAAAGUUGUGAUUGAAAAAGUCUUGACAUUAUUGUAAAAUAUGAUUUAACCAUGUGGAUUUAUGGUGAAUUAAUUAUGAUUUUGAAUAAUAAAAAAAAAGGUCAAAAUGUUAAUUAAGAGUUAACUUGUUGAAAUGUUAAUGGAAAUUGAAAGUGAGUUCAACAUGGUGCAUACAUGAACAAGAACAUGGAAGCUUUAAACACCCUUGUUUCUCGUCACUUGUUUCUCGUCACUUUAUUGAUGUGAAUAGAAACAAAUCAAUAGAAAGGAACAUAAUCGAUGUCAUCUACAAAACCUAAUUAUGAUUAUGAUAUUAUGAUUAUGAUAUGGAAAUGGUAUAUAAAUAAGCCAAGUUGAGUUUCGAAAGACCAUAAUUGAAAUGGUUGACCAAAAAGUCAAUAGCUGACCAAAGUCAACUGGGAGGCACGAAUUAGGGUAUGAGGUAGUCCUCAAGGGAUCAGAUGAUUUUAAGCAAGAUCUAUAAGGGCCAGGUCAUGGCGCAUCUCCUAAAUUAGGGUUUAGGAUCCAAUAACCACAAAUGAUAGAACAACAACAAGGAUUAGGAUUUCAGAUGGAUAAAAGAGGGUCAUGAUGUAAUUUCCAAGACUCGAGACCUAAGGGAGCAUGAGCUUAUGGUUUGCAUUCCACGUGGUUAACAAUCCUUCAUUCCUUAGACAGAACCCUAGUUUGAAUCGAUAAGCAGCUUUGAAUCUAUCGGUGCUUGUACUAACAUGAAUGCAUGAUGCAUGUGAAUGAGACAUGAAUGAUGUAAUACUAUAAUUUUGACCCUAAGAUCCCUCAUGUCAUCUCAUAACUUGGCAUUUUCAUUGGGAUCACAUCUUGGUAUCCUCCUCACCUAUCAUUCAUUGGGUUUGCGUUGGGAGAGAUCACCAAGCGUAUUUGAUGGUAUCAUACUGUAUUUUCUUUUAUUACCAACCAAAAUACUAAAAAACAUGUCUAGUGUAGCUUUGUUUCUUUUGUAGCUAGUGUGUAUGUCCACAUGUGCCUCAUCAAGCUCACAACUAGGGUUUGAAACCCUCAAUGCAAGGGAUCAAGUUAACAAAGGUCCACAUUGGUUAAAAUCAUCAUAUAUGGAACCCCAUGUUCUUUAUUUAUCAUUUUGAUCAAGAAUUCAUCAAGAAUUUGAAGCUUGUUUGUCAAGGAAGCCCUAAUUCAUAUGGGUAUCUUAUGUGCCGUCCUUAGCAAGUUUCUUCAACAUUUGGUAAAAGAUAUCAAACGAUACUUCAUUGUACUUUAUCAUAAGCAUAUAUGAUUCUCCAUGAGCCCCAAAUAGCAAAGGAACUCCAAGUUUGUAAGUUGGUUCAAGGAGGUUGACCAGAAAAGUCAACUCGUCAAAUCUAGGAUUCCCUAGACCCUAUAUCCUACAAUUUUUGUCAUAUGAAAAUUAUUCCAAGAUCAAUGUUACUUUUUAUGACAUUCACAAAAAAUUUCAUGUUGACAUCAAGAGCUAAUUUUUCUUGUAAAGUCAUUUUUUAUGUUGAAAGAUUAUAAGUCAUUUUGUUUGUGCCCUAGAUAGAAGGUCAACUUCCAAGAACCAUAACUUACUCAAUUUUAUUAUAUGAAUAUGAUCCCAAGUUUCAUGAUUAAUUUCAAGAUGUAUUCUCCAACUUUUCUUCUUUGAGAAAGGUCAAAUUCUACUUUCAAGGGCAUGUUCCAUGAGGAAACAUUAUAGGUCCAUUUUGGUCCUCAUCAUUGAACAAGCAAUUUUCCUCAACUUCUAAAAUCCAUAACUCCAUCAUGCAAGAUCCAAAUUGUGUCAAAUCUGUGACCAAAUUAAAGAUGAUUGAAAUAUAUACAACUUUUAAGAAGUAACCAAAGUAAUUUUAAGCUCAUAGCGAAGGUUAUUCAAGGUGGAAAAAGGGGUCAUUUGACUUUUAACUUAGAAAAUUUUCAAGUAUGUUUGAUUCCUCCAACUUCAAGGCCAUAAUUCAUCAUGUUCCAAGAUUCAAAAUGGAAAAGUCCCAAUAUCAAAGUUGUUCCCCAUGAUGGUAGCUUUCCAAAGAGUACAAGAUCAUUCCAUUUAGACCAUAAUUGAGGGAUUCGCGCAUGGUUUCUUUGCAUGGCUCAAUUUGGCAACUUUUGAACUCAAAUAUUACACAUCUUUGCAUGGCCUCAUGUUAUGAUCUCAGCAUCAUAUGUGCAUGAAUUUAAACUAAUUGCAAUGAUCAUUUGGCCAAAAUUUGAAAUGGUGCAAAGAUCAAUUCCAUUUCCUAUUGUAAGACCCCAAUUUUGACCCUAAGAUCCCUCAUGUAAUUUCAUCAUAAGCAUUAGCAUUGGGAUCAUACCUUGGCAUCCUCCUUACCCCUCUUUCAUUGGGUUUGUUCUGGGAGAGAUCACCAACUUUGUAUCAUACUUGUAUUUAUCAUUCACUACCAAAAUACCCAAAAAUAUGUCUUCGCAUUGCCUAACUCUUUUGUAGAAGGGCAUGAUCCCAUUGAUUCAUCAAGUUCACAUCUAGGGUUUGAGACCCUCAUGAACAAAGAGCACAACAAGAAUUGAUCCAAGAAUGGUUAUGAGCAUCAUAUAUGAGUCCCAAUGUUCUCUACAUGUUAUAUUGAUCAAGUUUUCUUCAAGAGUUUGAGGGUGAUUUGCCUUGGAAACCCUAGUUUAACUGGGUAUCUUGAGUAAAUUCUCCAAGAAGCUAUCUCACCAAUUGAUCAAAUUUCUCAAGGGACACUUCAAAUUUCAUCAUCUUAUGCAUAUAUGAUCUACCAUGAGCCAAGGAAGUCAAGAGAAUUGGAAGUUAGCAAGUUGGUUGAUGGUGGUUGGCCAGAUGGAUUCAUCUAAUCAAAACUGGGUCUCCCUAGACCCUAUCUCCUACAAUUUUCACCAUAUGAAAAUGAUUCCAAGAGCAAACUUACUCUAAAUGACAUUACAAACAACUUCCAUGUUUAGAACUAGAGCUAGUUUUGCUUGAAAAAUCAUUUUCUAUGUUGAAACAUUAUAGGUCAUUUUAUCUAAACCCUAAUUUGAAAGUCAACUUUCCAAGGCCAUAACUUGCUCAAUUUUUAUGAGAUGAAAUAUUUCCAAGUUGCACAAUCAAAUUAAAUGUGUCUACUUAAACUUUGAUGUUUGGAGUGGGAUCUAAUUCAACUUUUUUGAGCAUGUGAUAUGAGGUUACAUUAUACCAGUGAAAACUGGAUAUGGUAACUAGUUCACUAAAAAGGUUUGAAGAAAAAUGCAUAACUCUAUCAUUUCAAAUCCAAAUGACAUGAAAUUGGUGACCAUUUUUAAGGUAUUUGAGAGAGAUACAAUUUUGAUGAAUACACUUUUCUCAUUUGAAGCUUACAUAAAAAGUUAAGCAAGGUGGAAUGUUGAGACAUAUGGCUUGACACUUAGAAAAAUUUUGAUAUGUCAAAAAUUUCCAAACUUCCACCUCAAAUUUAUCCAAGUUACAAACUCCAAAUGGAAAAGUGUUGAACAUGAAAGUUGUUUGUCUUGAUCUCACCUUUCCAAAGAGCUCAAAUUCAUCCACUUUGGACAAGGAAUGCAUAGGCUGCGCAUGGCAUGAACAUGGUUUCAUCACUUGGCAAGGAUCAAACUUCAAAUCAAAAUGCACACUUGCCUUGCAAUCCAAACUGAAUUUGGACUAUCUAACACUCAUUUGUGGACUUAUGGCAAUGAUUUUAUGGGCCUAUGCGCGCCCAUGCACCCAUGCAUCAUCAAUGACCAAAUUUGGAAAGUGAAUGCAAGUGUGCAAAAAGCAAUGGAUUCAGCUAUAAAUUGCGCGCCCAUGCACCCAUGCAUCAUCAAUGACCAAAUUUGGAAAGUGAAUGCAAGUGUGCAAAAAGCAAUGGAUUCAGCUAUAAAUAGAGCCUCAUAUGCUCAGCAAUCAACACACAUUCGCGCCAGCUUUGAUCCCCCAUCUCUAACCCUCACACUACAAAGGAUAAACCUGAGAAAUUCAUUUGAAUUUGAGGUUGAAUUUCCACUGUUUUGAAAUUUAAAUCUCCAGGAAUCCACAACCUUUUGAGCAUUCAAUCCUUCUUCUACAAGCAUUUGGAGUGAGAUCAAGCACGAGCAAGAUUAGUUGAAUCCAGACCUCCAUUGAAGGUAUUUUCCAGAAAUUUUGAUCUCUCCGAUUCUCUCAAAUUCUUGCUCAAUUCUAUUGAUUGUUUGGUUGUCUGAAGUCCUACCAAUGUAGGCAAGAAGAUUGAGUUGCUUAGAGGCCAAAUCGAAACAACUCAGUUCAUGUACCUCAAAUUUCAACUCCAUGUAUCUCUCAAUAUACUUUGAGUUAAAGUGAAUUGAGGCCAGAUUCGAGCUCAGUGCCAUUUUUACUUUGAAAUCAUGUCCUUAUUUUUAAUUUUGGUGAUGGUUGAUGGUGGACCAGUCCGGUGAGGUCCACCGGAGAAGAAGACCGGAUCUACAGCUCCGGCGAUGUGUUGGCAUCUCUCACAGCCAUAGGAUCCAUCUAAUUUGUUUUAAUCACGAUCGUUCCUUUUGAAUACCAAUGUUAUGGCGCGCUGACUCAUGUCCAUCAUAAAUAACGCGUUUUUGGCCACUUGAUCUGCCACCUCAAUUAAUGAGGGAGAUCAAGUGGUCCACAUUUUUUAUGAUAUUUUAAUUUUCAUUUUAAUUGCAUUAUUUUCAAUAAUUCAUAUUAAAUUCAAUAUUGAUCCAAAAAAUAUGGGACUUUCACCAAAAAAAUUCAAAUAUUUUUCUCUUUCAUAUUCUGAAUUAAAAUUAUUUUUUGGAUCAUUAUUAAUAUUUUUCAUGAAUUAAUUGAUUUUUCAUUUGUUUUUAAUUGUUUAAAAAUACUCCUAAAUGUCCAAAAAUUAUGAAUUUUUUCCCCAAGGUCCUUUGGCCUUGUUUGACCUAUGAUAAAUCUCAUGGCCAUUUCUUUGGUGUUUUAAUGAGAUUUUAGGAAUUGGACAAACCAUAUUUAAUGCACUAUUUUAGUAUUUUUAAUUUGAAUAAAUGCCAAAUAAAUUUGUUGACCAAUUGUGAUGAAUUGUUUAUGUUUGACUAUUGUUGUUGGGCCUUGGUCAAGGUUGAUUUGACUUUGUCAAAUUCAUAUCAUUGGAUUUAGGGGAUUGAUGAAUGUACAUUCCAUCUCCCAAAAUGAAUGGAUGAUAUUAAUUUGGUAAAAGUACUCCUUUGACCAAUUUGUGAUUUGAUACAUUCCACUUCCACUUCAUCUUAUUCCUUUUCUUCAUUCGUUCAUUCCAUUUGGCCUGUGAUAUCUCAUGAUCCUAAGGCUAGUUGGUUGAAAAAUUGACAUGAGUAUGGAUGAGAUUAGGCUACACCUUUUGCAUAUUCUUUUUGUGUGUGGUAUAUUUCAUGAGCAUAGUCCAUUAUACUAUGUCUCUAACAUGCAUUAACACCAAAAUUCUAUUGCUCGGUCUCAAAUAGUUGUGACUUCUACAUAAGUCCAAUUACGAUUGCUUAACAUAGCGCUAAAUUGGUGAUAUAAAAGGCAUAAGCAUUCUAGUUAGUGAGAUUGUAAGUCUCCCCUCUUUCAUGGUAUUGUGUGGAAACUUGGCCUUCUUUCCUAUCUUUGGAAGAUGUUUUGGCUCAAGGAUUCAUGCUUGUGAUAAGUGGGUUGAGUGUUCUCCAAAGAAUGUCUUAAAAAUGAAAAGCAAAAGCAAAACAAUACUAACUUCUAACCUAUUAACUACUAACUUUUAAUUUUAAGCCUUUACUUUAAUGCAAUUUACUUUUAGCACUAUAGUUCAUUUGCCAUUGUUCAUAUCAUUCUAAUUGUUUAUGUUAAUGCAAUUUUCACUUUGUCCACAUGGACCAUAUUGUGUGAUAUAUUUUGUUUGUGUAUACUUUGCUUGUUUGUGUGGUCUUUGACCAUUAACGUACAUACUAACAACAAAAACCCUAAAAGACUUUUGUGUGGACUGUUGGCUUGAUCUUGGACAAAUAGACUUAGAAUCUAGGCAACCUUCCUAAGCUAAAGGACUCGACCAAUGCCAAUUUGUUGAGAACCAAGUACUUGCAAAUUGAAAAUCACCUGAUACAUCUUUGAAGACAUCUCUAAGUUCAUCUGCAACAUGAUCAUUGUGAAGCUGUUAUUUUGAACCUGUGACUUGUGGAAUUCAUCUGUUACAUGGGCUAUUUUGAAGAAGAUCAUGGAAUGGAUAAGCUUGGACGUGGUCAUCUUUAUUUGAUGCCUUGCUCUUCAAGAUAAUAUAAUUGUGCAUUUCUGUGUUGCUUGAUUCUAAAAGUUCAAAGGGAAUUCUGGGUUUCUAUUGAUAUUCUUGUCUAUUGGAUUGCUACCCAUUUGGUCAGAUCUUUUCAACUCUAAAACUUUUAAUUUUGUACAUAGGAUAAUUUCUUCAUCUUCUCCCCAUUUCUUUAAUUUCAAAAUAUCUUCCUCCAUUUUUCAAAAUCUUCUUUGUGUGAACUACUUUUGUUCUAAACUUUGACCACUUUGCAAAAAGAUAGAAACUUUGGCCUUAUGCCAUUGCAUUUUCAAACUUCUUUUCUUAAAUCAAACUUGUCCAUUUUUCAAAAUCUUCUUUGUGUGAACUACUUUUGUUCUAAACUUUGACCACUUUGCAAAAAGAUAGAAACUUUGGCCUUAUGCCAUUGCAUUUUCAAACUUCUUUUCUUAAAUCAAACUUGUAAGUAGACUUAACUAUACUUGACUUAAACUUCCAAAAAGCCAAAAAAAACUAACUCAUUCAAACCAUUUUUAGGUCUUUGUGCCUUUCAAACUUAAUUUUUGUUAAAAGCAAUGCAUCCACUUUGAAAUUUGUAUCACGAACUACGAGGUUUUGAAUCCUCAUUUUUAUGUUGGUACGUAGGCACAAGACCGAAGGUCUUGUCAAACACAAAAAUAUAAUUAAUGAAUUCUUUUCUCAUCCCCCCAUUCUAUUUGUUUGUAAACAUGACUUUAUACCAAGUACAUAUGCAUACAAAAAGGGCUCCCUAGGAGUACCUAGGACACUUUGGGUGCUAACACCACCCCUCUGUGUAACCAACCCCCUUACCUGUAAGCUCUGACAUUUUAUUACUUUUGAUUUGAAAACUUCUUACUUUUGGGUUUUUUCGUACUUUUUCCCUUUCCUUUGGAAACAAUAAAAGCGCGGUGGUGACUCUUGUUAUUUGAUCUCUAGCUUGUCAAUAGCUUGAUGAUAAUGAAUUUCCCGCUACACCUAUAAAUUGAGAUGCAUUGCCUCAUAUUGAAAGAGGGCCCUUUCCCAAGCUCUGCCCAGUAUCCCAUAACCCCAUUACAUAAAAUACCUUGAAGAUUUCAUUGAAAUCGAGCUUCUAGUUCAACUUCUAUUUCUGAACUACAACUCCAAGGAUUCACAACCAUUUUCAUUCUAAUCAUCUCCUGCAAGCAAGAGGAAGCAAGGCCAAGUGGAAUUGCAUUGAGAUCGAGCUUCAACACUGCAACCCGAAGGUGAUUUUUUCAGAAAUUCAACUCUUGGAUUUUCUUUCAUUUCUUAACAUUUUGGCUUGAUUUUUGGUUGAGUGAAGCCUUACCAAUGUAGGAAUUGAUACUGAGUUGCUUUGAGGUUGAAUCAAAGCAAUUCAGUUUGAACACCUCAAUUUUCAACUCCACGUUUCUCAUUAUAGAGUCAGAGUAGGAAAAUUUGGAGGUGAUAUUUAGAAUCCUCAUUAUUUUUCCUUCAAAUUGAUGUAUGAUCCAUUUAUUUUGGUGACAUUUUUACCCUGACCAGUCCGGUGAAGUGGCCGGAGAAGAUAACCGGAGCUAUGGCUCUGGUGGUGUGUUGGCUCAGUCCAGACCAUCUGAUCCAUUUUCCACAUUCUAAUUUGGUCCCUUGGUUAAGAUUACCAAGCGUAGGCGCGUGUUGACUCAGGUGCAUGGUGGAUGUGAUACGCUUGACCAUCAAAUAUGUCACCUCAAUUAAUGAGGGAGAUCCGAUGGCCCUUGUUUUUUUUUAAUUUCCAAAUUAUAUUUUAAAUGCCAUUUUCUUGCAAAAUUCAUUACAGUUUCAAUUUUAAUCCAAAAAAUAUGGGACCACCACCAAAAUUUCACAAAUAAUUUCCUCUUUCUAUUUCUGAAUAAAAAUUAAUAUUUGGAUUGAGUUUGAUAUUUUUAGUGAAUUUUGUGAUUUUUGACUUGUUUUUAAUUUAUUUUAAAUUCUUUUGACUUUCAAAAAAUGCCAAAAAAAUUAGUCGAUGGUCAUUUGACAUUGUUUGACCUAUGAUAAAUCCCUUGACCAUUUCUUUGGUGAUUUGAAGGGAUUUUAGAUUUCCCCCUUUUAAAAUGUAUUUUUCUUCGUUUAAAAAUUGAUUUUAAUUGUUUUAACUGCUUUAAUAUUUUGUUGAGACAUUUUAUUAACUUUGUGUUGACUCAACUUCCAUUUGGCAUUCGUCUUGGUUGAAUUGGACCUUAACUUUGUCAAUACCAUUGGAUUUAGGGGGUUGCUGAAGUGUAAACUUCAUCCCUCAAGAUGAAUGAAUGAUAUUGAUCAAGUGAGGUUCAUCCCUUGAUCAAUUUGAGAUCUCUUCAUCUUCAUCAUUUCAUCUUCAUCCCCCAUCUUUCCCAAUCCAUUCAUGGUCAAUGAUUUCUCAUAAGGUCAAAAUUCUAGUUGAUUCAUCAAUGACCAUGUGUCAGAUAAAUCAACAUGAGCUUGAUUGAGAUAGGUUCAUCCCCUCUUAUUUUUGUGUGUGGUAUGGUUUAGGAGCUUGGUCUUUAUACCUUGUCUCUAGCAUGCAUUAACACAAAUAUUAUUAUUGCUCGGCCUUAGAUAGUUGUGAUUUCUACAUAAGUUCAAUUACGAUUGCUUAACAUAGCGCUAAAUUUGCCCGAAAGCAAUAUCAUUUUUGUAAGUGAGAUUGUAAGUCUCCCAUUCCUCAUGGUAUUUUGUGAAGAUUUACCUCUUUUCCAUUUGUGAGAGUUAGUGGCAUACUUGUUCAUUUUAUCCAAGUUAGAUCCCUUCUCUUGAAUGAUGUCUAGGUUCAUAUCUUCAUGCUUGUGAGUGGGUGGUUGAGUGUUCUCCAAAAAAUAACUUAAACAAUUUCUUCUUCCACUAACAUUCACUAACAUUUCUUUGUAUUGACUUUAUUUUUUAGUUCCAUUUAUUUCAAUGCAAUUUAAAUUCUUGCACUUUAUCAUUCAUUUUCAUUUAUGUAAUACCCCAAUUUUGACCCUAAGAUCCCUCAUGAUAUCUCAUCAUUUGCAUUGGCUUUGAGAUCACACCUUGGCAUCCUCCUUACCCCUUAUUCAUUGGGUUUGCAUUAGGAGAUAUCACCAAGUACAUUUGAUUGUAUCAUACUUUAUUUUUCUUUGUUUACUAACCAAAAUACAAAAAAUAUGUCUAUGUAUAGCCUUGUUUCUUUUGUAGGUAGUGUGUGUUUCCACUUAUGCCUCUUCAAGCUCAUAUAUAGGGUUUGAGACCCUCAGUACAAGGAGAUUAAUAAAGAAAUGGUUCACAUUGGUUCUAAAAAUCAUACAUAUAUCCCCAUGAUUUUCAUUUAUCAUUUUGAUCAAGAAUUCAUCAAGAGUUUGAAGCUAGUUUGCCUUGGAAACCCUAAUUCAUCUAGGUAUCUUGUGUGACUUCCUCAACAAGUUUCUUUAAAAUUUGAUCAAAUAUUUCAAGGUAUACUUCAUAUUACAUCAUAUUAUACAUAUAUGAUCCUCCAUGUGUCCCAAAGAUCAAGGGACCUUCAAACUUGCAAGUUGGUUUAAAGAGGUUGACCAGAGAAAGUCAACUGGUCAAAAUUGGGAUUCCCUAGACCCUAUCUCAUACAAUUUUUGUCAUAUGAAAAUUAUUCUAAGAGAAAUGUUACUCUUUAUGACAUUAAAAACAACUUUCAUGUUGACAUCAAGACCUAGGUUUUCUUGUAAAGUCAUUUUUAUGGUGAAACAUUAUAGGUCAUUUUGUCUGUGCUCUAGUUAGCAAGUCAACUUCCAAGGACCAUAACUUGCUCAAUUUUUAUAUGAUGAAGUCCAUCCAAGUUCCAUUAUCAAUUUAAAGAUGUACUAUCCAACUUUUAUUCUUUUAGAAAUAUCAAAUUCAACUUUCAAGUGCAUGUUCCAAGAGGAAAGAUUAUAGGUCAUUUUGGGCCAUCAUCAUUGAACAAGCAAUUUUCCUCAACUUCUAAAAUGCAUAACUCCCUCAUGCCAAAUCAAAAUGAGGUAAAAUAUGUGACCAAAUUGAAUAGGGAUGAAAGAGAUACAACUUUGAUGAAGGAACUGUUUCCAUUUGAAGCUCAUAGAAGAAGUUAUUCAAGGUAGAAGAAGUGGUCAUUUGACUUUGUACUUAGAAAAUUUUCAACUAUGUUUAAUUUAUCCAACAUUCACCUCAAAAUUCAUCAUGAUCCAAGAUUUGAAUGGAAAAGUGUUCAACAUGAAAGUUGUUCUCCUUGAUGUACCCUUUCCAAAAAGUUCAAGGUCGCCUCAUUUGGACCAAGAUUGAAGGACUUGCGCAUGGGUAUAAUGCAUGACCCCAUUUGGAUAGAUUUGUGAUCAAUUUUCAUUUCAACAUUGCAUGGUACCUUAUUAAAGUUACAACAUCAUUUGAAAAGGAAUUUGGACCUUUUUACAUCAUUCCAUGGGCCUAUUACACGCCCAUGCAAGCAUGCACAUCACAUUACCAUUUUUGGCCAAAGUUUGAAAGUGUGUGGAAAGCAAUGAACAUGGCAAUAAAUACAACUCCCUUGAGCUCAGAAUGAGGAUCCUCUUGCCCAAGCUUUGACUUGCUUCUUACCCAAACCCCAUUGAGAGGAUAGUCUUGAAGAUUUCUUUCAAAAUCAAGUUUCAACUCUCAUUCUGUUUUGGAAUUGAAACUCCAAGAGUCCAAGCCUUUUAAUCAUCAAUAUCAUCUCUUGCAUGUAUAUAGAAGCAAGCUAAGCCAAAUUGAAGGGAAGAUCGAGCUCAAUUGAAGAAAACUGAAGGUGAAUUUUCAUAUUUUUUCUCUUCUUCGAUUCUCCCUCAAUUCUCUAUCAUUUUGCUUGAUCUUUGGUUGUUUGAAGACCUACCAAUGUAGGCAACAAGGUUGAGUUGCUUUGAGGUCAAAUCGAAGCAUCCAGUCCAUACUCGUCAAUUUUCAAUUCCAUGUAUCUUUCAAUAUAGUGAGAAUUGCAGAAUUUUGAGGAUAAAUUUGGAUUCCUGGCGUUUUUCUCUUCAAAUUAGUGUAUGCACUUUUCAUUUUAGUGAAGGUUGAUGGUGGACGAGUCCGGUGAGGUCCACCAGAGAAGAUGACCAGAGCCCUAGCUCCGGUGGUGUGUUGGAACUCUCCCAUCCCUUUAUUCAUGUUUAAAUGUUUUAAUCAGGUCCAUUGGUUUGCAUGACCAUGUUUGCAGCGCGUUUGACUAGUGUGUUUGGUGGACACCACACGCGUGGCCAUCAGAUCUGCCACCUCAAUUAAUGAGGGAGAUCUGAUGACCCUUGUUUUUUUUGUAAUUUUUUAUUUUCUUUUAAUUGCUCUUAUUUCAUUUAAUUCAUAAUAAAUCCAUUUUCAAUCCAAAAAAUAUGGGACUUUCGCCAAAAAAAAAUAUUUUUCUCUUCCAUAUUCUGAAUUAAAAUUAUUUUUUGGAUUAAUUUUGGUAUUUUUCACGAAUUAAAUGUUUUUGUGCAUAUUUUUAAUUGUUUAAAAAUACUUCUGAUUUUUUGAAAAUUGUGAAUUUUUUUGUCUAAGGUCCUUUGACCUUGUUUGACCUAGGAUAAAUCCCUUGGCCAUUUAUUUGAUGUUUUAAAGGGAUUUUAGGUUUUGUAAAUUCUUAAAUGUAUUUUAAUUCAUUUUUAAUAUGAUUUUUAAUUGAUUAAAUGUUUAAAAAUAUUGUUGAGCCGUUUUUAUGGUCUUGUGAUAUUUGACUUUCUGUUUGGGCCUUGGUCAUGGUUGAUUUGACUUUUGUUGGAUCAGAACCAUUGAAUUUAGGGGAUUGAUGAAAUGUACAAUUCAUCUCCCAAAAUGAAUGGAUGGUUUUGAUCAGAUGAAAUUUCUCUCAUGAUCAAUUUGUGUUUCUAUUUCCCCCUCCCUCUUCAUAUUCAUCCUUAUUCUUCCCCAUUUCCCUCAUUUGACCAAUGAAAUCUCUAAUGUCUAAAGGCUAAUUGAUUCAUCAAUGAUCUUAUGUCAGAUGAAUCAAUACAAGUAUGACUGAGAUAGGUUCCUCCCAUUUUUCUUUAAUGUGAUGGUAUGUUUUAGGAGUUUGGUUCUUUGUACCAAAUUUCUAACAUGCAUUAACACCUAUAUUUUUAUUGCUCGACCUUAGAUAGUUGUGACUUCUACAUAAGUCCAAUUACGAUUGCUUAACAUAGAGCUAAAUUUGACCCUUAAGGCAUAUCAUUCUAGUAAGUGAGAUUGUAAGUCUCCCAUUCUUCAUGGAAUUGUGUGGAGACUUGACCUUUUUUCCUUUCAUGGGAGCUAGUGACAUACUUAUUGAAUUAUCCAAGUUGGAGCCCUUCUCAUGGAAGAUGUCUUGGUUUAAGGAUCCAUACUUGUGAAUGAAUGGUUGAGUGUUCUCCAAAGAAUGACUUAAUCAAUUAAAACACAACACUAACAUUUGACUAACCAUUGACUAACUCUUAUUCAUUAUGCUUUUACUUUCAAGUCAUUUACUUUAUGCAAUUUAAAUUUUAGUCAUUUAUCAUUCUUUGCCAUUUUCAUUUCAUAUAACUUGUUUAUAAUUCAGUCCUUUUUCACUUUGCUCAUUUUAGCCAUAUCUUUUGAUUGUAUAUAUUGGUUUGUGUGUUCUAAUUUUGUUUAUGGUCUUAGGACCUUAAAACAAAUAAUAACAACAAAAACCCUAAAAAACAUUUGGUGGACUAUUGAACUUGAUCUGGACUUUUGGACUUAGGAUUAAGGAACAUUCCCUGUGCUAAAGAACUUGGCCAAUGCUAACAUUUUGAGACUGAGCUAUGUUGAAUUAAGCAUUCAUCUGCUACUAUGUGUUUGUUUUUAAUUAUUAUCUUGCUAUUAUUUUCUAUGUCUGAUGUUUUGUUCUGAGUUGAUCAAGGAAUAUUUCAUCUGAUACAUUGGAAGACAAUGAAGACCUCUAGCUAUUGGAGCGCUUGCUUGGAUGUGGCUAUCUUUAUUUGAUUCCUUGAUCUUCAUAAUGUUUGGAUAUUUGCUCAUUGCUUAUUGAUUAUUUCUGUAUUAAAGUCCUAAGUAAAAUGGGUUUCUAUAUGACAUUCUUGUCUAUUGGAUUGUAUCCCAUCGGUUAGAUCUUUUCAACUCUUAACUUUUAAAGUUGUGCUUAUGGUAGUCUCUUCAUAUCCCCCAUUCUUAAAUUUCAAAACUUAUCCCUCUUUUCAAAAACUUUCUUUGUCUUGUGAUUUCUCACUUAGACAUGUUUUAACAAUUAGAAACUUUGGCCUUAUGCCAUUGAAUUUCAAACUCUUUUUCUUAAAUCAAGUUUGUAAAUAAAGUUAACCAUAUUGACUUAAAUUUCAAAAGAAAAAAAUAACAAACAACUCAAUUCAAAUUUUUUUGGCAUUUUGUGCCUUUUUCUUUAUUAAACUUUUGUUAAAAGCAAUUCACCAACUUAUUGGAAAUUUUUACCACGAAAUACGGGGUUUUUAUUCCUCAUUUUUACGUUGGUACGUCGGCGUAAGAUCGAAGGUCUUGUUAAACACAAAAAUAUAACCAAUGAAUUCUUUUCUCAUCCUCACACUCUACUUUAUCAAACAUCAUUUACACCAAAAACACAUGCACACAUAAAAAAGCGCUCCCUGGAAGUAACUAGGACACUUUGGAUGCUAACACAUUCCCUUUGUGUAAUAAAUCCCCUUACCUGCAAUCUCUGGCAUUUUAUUAGUUUUGAUUUGAAAACUUCUUAUCUUUGGGUUUUGUUCGUACUUUUCUCUUUUAGUUUGGAAAUAAUAAAAGUGAGGUGGCGACUCUAGUUUUAUUGAUGUUAAGCUUAUCCAUAGCUUGAUGGUCAUGAAUUUACUGCUACAGAAAUUAAGUGGUGACUCUGCUGGGGAAAUAGUCCUCAGUGGGUUUAGCAUACUUUUUUAUGUGUAUAUAUUUGUAUAUUUGAUGCUUGUAUAUAUUGUUUAUGUGAUGUAAUCUGUCUGUUAUGCUUGGUGAUCUUUGUAUGGUGAGAUAAGUUCUAACCCGAACUUGAGUGAAAUUAAGAUAGGAGGAUGGUAUAGUCAUGUUCAACUUGUGUGGAGUAGUCCUUAACAAGUUGGCUUGAGAUCCAUCUACUCAGUGCAGACAUCUUUGUAGUUAUUGAUGUCACACAAGUUAUUUGUGGAUAGGCAUUACUGUCUCUGAUUUGGGGUCUGAGAAGCUGAGGACUGUAGAACAUUUAACCCAACUUGGCCUAUUUAGAACAUAGUGUGGAGACUGUUCAGGUGUAGACCCGAUAACAGUUGUUACGCGAUACUACACUUAAAUGAGUUUCUCUUGAGAAUAUUAUGGGUUGAUGAUUCAGUCAUCCUAACCUAUUGUAAGACCCUAAUUUUGACCCUAAGAUCCCUCAUGGCAUUAUGUUAUUGCACAAGUGCAUUGCCUCAAGGAUCAUAGCAUGUUUGGCUCCUUAACCCUAGGGGUGGGACUUGUGUGAGUGGUUUGAGACCACCAAGCAUGCUUGUAUUGCAUAUUAUUGCUUUUCUUACUUGUUUAACUAACCAAAAGCACAAAAAUAUGUCAUUAACUCUUUUUGUUUUCAAGCUCAAGUGACCAUGUGCUCCCAUUCUCCUAGGAGGCUCCUAAGCUCAAUGAAGUGGCAAGAUGAAGAUGAAGAAAAGCAUGACAAUGGUCCACAAAGCUCUUAAUUAUCAUAUAUGUAUCCCAAGUAUCUCAAUUUGCCAAUUUGAUCAAGAUAACCCAAGGGGCUUGAGGAUUGUUUCCCAAGGAAACCCUAAUUCAACUGUGCUUUGACCGUGCCUUGCUCAUGAAGCAAUCUCAACCUAUGAUCAAAUUCAAUCAAGGGAAGUUAUUUCAUUCAUUAUUUUAUGCAUAUAUGAGCCUAUGUCAGGCCUCGCAAUCAUUCAUUCAUCAAGAUUGGAAGUUUGGCCUUGAAAAGUUGACCUAUCAAGUCAUUUGACUAAACUGAAGAUCACUGAGAUACUCAGACAACAACAUCUGCCAACGGGCAAUCCUCCCAGUUAAAGCAGGCUUCUCGAAAAUAUACUUGAUUGGAUCCAUUCGGGAUAUCAACCAAGUUGUAUGAUUUAUCAUGUACUGGCGCAAACGCUUAGCUGCCCAAGCUAAAGCACAGCACGUCUUCUCAAGCAUAGAGUACCGAGACUCACAAUCAGUAAACUUCUUACUGAGGUAGUAGAUAGCAAAUUCCUUCUUCCCUGAUUCAUCUUGUUGACCGAGUACACAACCCAUCGAGUCUUCAAGAACAGUCAAAUACAUAAUCAGAGGUCUUCCUUCCACAGGCGGAGACAAGAUCGGAGGUUCAGACAGAUACUCUUUGAUACUGUCGAAAGCUUUCUGGCAAUCCUCGGUCCAAUCAUGAGACUGAUCUUUCCGGAGGAGCUUGAAUAUCGGCGCACAUGUGGCAGUCAUGUGGGAUAUAAAUCUGGAAAUGUAGUUCAAGCGGCCAAGAAAACCUCGGACUUGCUUCUCAGUUUUGGGCGCAGGCAUCUCUUGUAUUGCUUUGACCUUUGCAGGAUCAACCUCAAUACCUCUUUCACUGACAAUAAAGCCCAAUAACUUGCCAGAACGGACUCCAAAUGUACACUUGUUGGGAUUCAGACGAAGCUUAUACUUCCUCAAACGCUGAAAAAGCUUCAACAAGUGCUCUACAUGUUCAACUUCCGUUCUUGACUUAGCAAUCAUAUCAUCAACAUAUACCUCUAUCUCCUU